CUACGUGCCAGCAGCCGCGGUAAUACGUAGGUCCCGAGCGUUAUCCGGAAUUAUUGGGCGUAAAGGGGCACGUAGGCGGACAAAUAAGUUUGAUGUCAAAUAUGAUGGCUCAACCAUCAAGAGGCGUUGAAAACUGUUUAUCUAGAAUCUCGGAGAGGUAAGUGGAAUUCCAUGUGUAGCGGUGGAAUGCGUAGAUAUAUGGAGGAACACCAAUGGCGAAGGCAGCCUUACUGGACGAAGAUUGACGCUGAGGUGCGAAAGCGUGGGUAGCAAACAGGAUUAGAUACCCCUGGUAG
rnacentral:rRNA from 1 species